AUUGAACGCUGGCGGCAUGCUUUACACAUGCAAGUCGAACGGUAACAGGCCGCAAGGUGCUGACGAGUGGCGAACGGGUGAGUAAUGCAUCGGAACGUGCCCAGUCGUGGGGGAUAACUACUCGAAAGAGUAGCUAAUACCGCAUACGAUCUAUGGUUGAAAGCGGGGGACCGUAAGGCCUCGCGCGAUUGGAGCGGCCGAUGUCAGAUUAGGUAGUUGGUGGGGUAAAGGCUCACCAAGCCAACGAUCUGUAGCUGGUCUGAGAGGACAACCAGCCACACUGGGACUGAGACACGGCCCAGACUCCUACGGGAGGCAGCAGUGGGGAAUUUUGGACAAUGGGCGCAAGCCUGAUCCAGCAAUGCCGCGUGCAGGAAGAAGGCCUUCAGGUUGUAAACUGCUUUUGUACGGAACGAAACGGCUCUGGUUAAUACCCGGGGCUAAUGACGGUACCGUAAGAAUAAGCACCGGCUAACUACGUG
rnacentral:rRNA from 1 species